AGCUCUCAGAGGUGCGUGGACCUGCUGAGCAGCGAUGGGCCUGUUGUAAAGGUAAGCACAAACAUGGGGGCACGAAUCCAGCCCUAGGGGUUAGUGGUUCUGGACCCUUUCCCCCAAGAAAUUCAUGUCUUGACAGUGAUUCUUCCAACACACACAGCAUGACCUGGGUGACAACAGCCCUGUAGUUGCCACAUGAUGGACUUGCAUGCAUUCAUUUUGAUCUGUGCUCUGGAAAUGACGAAGGUCUGCAUUCUUCAUGGCAUUGAGAAGGACUUCUGCAGGCAAGAGGAAUGAUCACCACUGCAGGUGACUCAGUAUUUGCGAGGUUGCUGAGACACCAGGGCAGGGAGGUCCUGAGCAUCAGAGCAGUUUGUGACAGUCAUCAGAAAAUAUGCACUCCCCUACAUGAGUGUCUCACGGUGGAACUCAUCUCUCAAGCUUCUUUGCAUGCUGCCUGCCAUCCUGCUGCUCGGGCAGAUCACCAGGACAGCCGUGCACUCUUCACAGCCCUUUUUGGGAACAACUAUGUGUCAUCGGCCGACUGCUCAGGAAACCACGCAAGCUGGGCAGGAAGCGCCAGGAAGGGCUCAGCCUCCCUGCACACUUGUAGGGCACAAAAUGAAUCAACCUGCCCUGCCUGGAGCCAGUUCUCCAUCUCAUCCCUAUCAGGAGCUUGGGAAUCCACGCUUCUGCAGACACCUCAGCUCCUGCCUGGAACCGAGCUGUGCAAGGAGGUUCGGUGCAGCCAUCACCAGAUGGUGCUGCUGCAUUCAGCCUUGCAGGGUCACUGUGUGCACGAGUGCUGGGAUUCUUGGAAGAAAAUACUGAACUGUGGAUGUUUUCCCGCUGCUUGGAUGUCUGGGGAAUAGGCAGGGCAUGGUCUGCCUUCAUGUCACUAGCCAGUUCUCUUUGAGAACCAGACAUUUGGGCUUUGGCUGGGGAUUCAGAACAGGGGUGGGUUCAGAUGAUGUUUGAGAUGAUCUGUUCCAGCCUGGCUCGAGUGGAUAAACAAAAUUAAUUAGGCCCACAUCAUAGGAUUUCACAGGAUUUAUUUUUCCUCCAAUGGAAAACUGGCUGGCAACGGGUAAUCAGGAAAACAUAUCACUAAACUUCAUCUCUUUUUUUUCCAUAAGUUUUACAGUUUUUACCUUUUUUUUUUUUUUUAAGGCCCAGCUCCAGGAAUCGUGUUAUCACAUGAGAAUCCAACACCCAACGCACAACUGUAGAGAAAAAGUUAUGUCCCCUUUCCUACAUCUGUUAUAUACGAAACUGCAGUGUGCAAAGAACUUCAGCUGAUGUGAUUAAGCAGAGGAAACAGCACUGAACGUUUAUCUCGCAGAUUUUAGUCUGUUCCCUGGUUGUGGCAGUAAACAUGUGAUUAGUUCUAAAAAGUUGCUUGGGAAGGCUUUCAUCUCUGCUUCCUCAGAAAAUGGAGGAAAAGGUCAAGGGAAAGAUUUUGACAGAGCAGUUCACGAUUGUAAUUCACGUUUAUCUAUUCAUUAUAGUCUCCCUCUUCAAGUUUAUUUGCACCGCUGGGGGAGCAUGCAGAGCUCUCAGUUUCUGUAAGGCAAAUAGGUGCAGCACAAGAAACUCAGAAGCUAAGCCAAAAAUUGUUCUUUUUGAGUCAGCAUUCUUCACUGCUAUUGCACUGAGAUCUCUGAAUGCCUCUAGGCAGAGAAAAAUCUACGUUUGAUGAUUUGGAGCUCUGAAAGUAGGUGCUCCAGCCUUCAUAAGGUCUUCAGCCUCAUCCUGUGGUUAUUCAGGCUGUGUGCUUUAAAGUUCUGACUGUCUUUAUAUUCUGUCUGUGGCCAUCACAGUGUCCUGAUGGAGUUCUGUAAGAACUGGGAUUUGAUCGUCCAGGUCAGAACAGGAUCUGUCCAGACUCAUGGAUUCCAAGGGACAGCUCAUGGCUCAGAAAGAUAGGGGCCAUGAAACUGCAGAAUGACAAACAGUGAUGCUCUUGAGAUGGUAAAUGAGGAGCUUUUUUAUUUUAUGGUGUCAUGAAAGAAUACUGGUGAAUACCAAGAAACUGGUAUCAAGUGAUAGCAGAUAACUGCUAAAAAGAAAUGUUCCUUUCUGACCAGCUCACUGCUGUGGAGUAGAGAAAUCCAAGGGGAUUUGAGGAUUAAGAACAGACUGAUAGUUAAUGCUAAAAUGUAUUUCAAAAGGAGUAUCAACCCAAUAAAAAAUGCCUAAAUCUUGAAGUUUUUUGUGGG
ensembl:lncRNA